UGCUUAAAUGGAUCCAACAGUAAAGA
rnacentral:piRNA from 1 species